rnacentral:rRNA from 1 species
UACGUAGGGCGCAAGCGUUAUCCGGAAUUAUUGGGCGUAAAGAGCUCGUAGGCGGUUUGUCGCGUCUGCCGUGAAAGUCCGGGGCUCAACCCCGGAUCUGCGGUGGGUACGGGCAGGCUAGAGUGAUGUAGGGGAGACUGGAAUUCCUGGUGUAGCGGUGAAAUGCGCAGAUAUCAGGAGGAACACCGAUGGCGAAGGCAGGUCUCUGGGCAUUAACUGACGCUGAGGAGCGAAAGCAUGGGGAGCGAACAGG